rnacentral:lncRNA from 1 species
UAGGUACAUGUUAUAUUUGAUUUGUAUACUAGCACAUUGUAUGUAUGUGUGAUAGUCACAAGAACUUUAAUUUCAAGAUCUCGUCUACAUAGAUCAAUCCUGAUGAAGAAGAUAUUUAGUGGACUCUCUAGUAGUGAUAUGUUAUCAUGAAACCACUAUGGACUUAAUGUAUACUUAUUAUAUUUAUUGUUCGGAAUUGUAAAACUAAAUUUAAAACAGGGGAGGGAA